GACGAACGCUGGCGGCGUGCUUAACACAUGCAAGUCGAACGAAGAGCGAUGGAAGCUUGCUUCUAUCAAUCUUAGUGGCGAACGGGUGAGUAACGCGUAAUCAACCUGCCCUUCAGAGGGGGACAACAGUUGGAAACGACUGCUAAUACCGCAUACGAUCUAAUCUCGGCAUCGAGGAUAGAUGAAAGGUGGCCUCUACAUGUAAGCUAUCACUGAAGGAGGGGAUUGCGUCUGAUUAGCUAGUUGGAGGGGUAACGGCCCACCAAGGCGAUGAUCAGUAGCCGGUCUGAGAGGAUGAACGGCCACAUUGGGACUGAGACACGGCUCAGACUCCUACGGGAGGCAGCAGUGGGGAAUCUUCCGCAAUGGACGAAAGUCUGACGGAGCAACGCCGCGUGAGUGAUGACGGCCUUCGGGUUGUAAAGCUCUGUUAAUCGGGACGAAAGGCCUUCUUGCGAAUAGUGAGAAGGAUUGACGGCACCGGAAUAGAAAGCCACGGCUAACUACGUG
rnacentral:rRNA from 1 species